UACGAGAGCCUCAAGCGUUAUCCGGAUUUAUUGGGCGUAAAGCGUCUGCAGGUGGUUUGAUGCGUCCUCUGUUAAAUCUCACGGGCUUAACCCUGAGACCGCGGGGGAUACGGUCAGACUAGAGGCCGGGAGAGGCGAGCGGAAUUGCUGGUGUAGGGGUUAAAUCCAUUAAUAUCAGCAAGAACACCAAAUGCGAAGGCAGCUCGCUGGAACGUGCCUGACACUCAGAGACGAAAGCGUGGGGAGCAAACAGG
rnacentral:misc_RNA from 1 species